UCUGUUGUUCUAUCAACAUAAGCCUACUGGUAUAUGCAAAGAAGUGAUUUGAUGUAUAAAAAGUAUAAAGCAAAGCUAUCAGGACAAUGUACUCGGCUCAAAAGUGGAUCAGAAUCGUGAGAGGAAGAUUAAGUUUCAUGUGGUC
rfam:Orientia tsutsugamushi str. TT76 ut76.contig.13_1, whole genome shotgun sequence.